GGCCGGGUGGUCUAGUGGUUAGGACGUUAGCCUAGUUGGUUGAAGACGCCGGUUCGAUUCCGGCCUCGGCCA